CAAAAACAAAUGAAAUAAUUUCAAACUAUUUUGGAAUACAUGUAGCAAUUUCGACAAUUAUUAAUACCACCUGUUGAAUAUUAUGUCAAAGAUGUAAUGUCACCUAAGUACCAGGCAAACUUUUAACAAUAAUUUGUAAAGAAUUUGCUAUACAGGUUUAACUUUGUGAGAGGAAGGUGGCUGGUUGAAAUAAUAAUGUAUAUUUUGUAAUCAGUAGAUAAUUCUCUUCUCCCCCGCUGAGGAAAGAUUUUCUCUGAUGCAAGUUUUAUUGAUAGUUGAGAAGCUAAUCUUGUAUGUGUAAGGCCACAAAAGGAUUACGAUGAUUUUUAUGUGAAGCCAGAUGUUUCAGCUUGUGUACCAUCAUUCACUGAUGAUGAGGUCGACACGGGGAUCUUUGACGUCUUGGAAGUAAUUACUGAAUCAACGUUCUAGCAUAAACCUUGACAUUUCCGAUGCCACAAGAUGUUAAGGAUUUAAUUAUCUGCCUUUUGCACCAAAUCUGCUUUAGAACACAAUCACCACCGACUAUCACAUGCACUA
rnacentral:lncRNA from 1 species